rnacentral:rRNA from 1 species
ACCAGCCGUCCGACCUCCGAUCUCCUUCAUGCUAAGCAGAGUCAGGCCUGGUUAGUCCUUGGAAGGGAGACCGCCUGGGACAAUCAGGCGCUGAAAGUU